GCGAGCACUGACGAGGAGCUGGCCCGCACCGGAGGUAGUCUGCGGAUGAGCCCUCCACGCAGGGCUCCAAGACGCCCAGACAUCAGGGUCCCGGGGCCCGCUGGCGGGAGAGCGGAGGCGGACAGCAAAGGACUGGCGAAAGACGCAGUUUUACAGCUCAUCGGAUAUGCCACAUCCGUGACUUCCUCUGCAGUUUCCUGCUCAGGUUAUUGCUGUGUGAGCAUGCUACAUGGGAACAGAACCUUUGAGGGAUUGUGUCUCCAACAGUCCUCAAAAAUUGUGAGCUAGACUUUCACUUAGAUUUGUAGCAUGAGUGUUGCCUUUCUUAUCUACCUAUGGCUUCUUCCUCUUUUUCCUUUUAUUUGCAUGUUGAACAGUUUUCUGGUUGACAAGACUCUGAAAAUUUCCAGGCAAAUUAUGGUUCCAUUUUCUUGAGAGGAAGGAAUUCUUUAAAGAUAUGGCCUUAUUAGUUUCCUAUUUCAAGUAUUUUCUUUUCAUCACUCAUUUUGAAAAUGUUAUGAGAAAGAGAAGGGAAUUAGCAUUUACUGAAGAUAUGCAACAUGUCAGACAACUCUUUCACAUGCAUUGUCUGGUGUAAUUCCCAACACAGUCCCUGUGAUAUGUUAGUAUUAUCCCCAUUUUAUAGAGGAGGAGGUAGGGACCGAGAGAGAUUGAAUAACCUGCUGGUCAGUGGGGAAGCUAAGAUUUGAAUAGCAUUGAGUCCGAUUCCCCUACCCCAGGGUUUCCCAAAUUUUGAUGAAGAAGAAUUUUUUUUGUUUUUUGGUGAGGAAGAUUGGCCCUGAGCUAACGUCUGUUGCCAAUCCUCCUCUUUGUUGCUGAGGAAGAUUGGCUCUGAGGUAACAUCUGUGCCCAUCUUCCUCUAUUUUGUAUAUGGGAUGCUGCCACAGCAUGGCUUGAUGAGCAGUGCGUCGCUCCCUGCUCAGGAUCCGAAGCUGCGAACCCUGGGCUGCCAAAGCAGAGUGCGUGAACUUAAUCACUACGCCACUGGGCUGGCCUCCCUGUAUUUUUUUUUUUUAAGGAAAACAUUUCCACAGACCCCUUGUGUUGACUAAAAUUAUUUUAUGUUUUUUAAGUGAACAAUCAUAAAAGUAGAUGUAAACUUCUCAUGAUUAUGGCAUUUAUAUAACUACAAAUAUACAAAUUAAAUAGAAAUGGAACUUCAAAAUCAAUAAAAUUCAAAUUAACAUUAAUAAGGAACAACUAAUACAUUUUGUUGAAAUAAAAUUGGGGCUUGCAAUAUAAAUUUAGUAUUGAUUCCUUUUUAGUUUGGCAUUUCUGUCUGCUGUGUGAUGAUUCCAUUUUCACAAUAUUGUUUUCUUUUUUAAAUACUGUGAAAAUCCUAGAUUUUUACAGUGCAUCGUGAUACAAUUUAGCCUUUGGCCCAAAUGAUGAUUUUGUCAUGAAAUCCGCCUGUGUUCCUGUUUCAUCAGCCCAUGACAAUAAAGAAAAGAGCUUUAUUACUGGAAUGACCUCUCCUUGUAGAUGGGUCUUUUCUCUGCCUUUUUCACUGUUGUAUUCUCAGUGUCUGGAACAGUGCCUGGCACACAGUAGGUGCUCAAUAAAUGUUUAUGGACCAUAGGAGUUAAUGAACAAAGAAAUACUUGGCUGAUACAUUAUUAAAUGUAAAUGUUGGCCCUGAAAUCUUGUGGCAGUAAUAGAUUAUAAGAUGGUCGUCCAGAUGAUCCAAAAUGUGCUUAUACUGCUGAGAUAAUACUUCAAGAUAUUUAUUUGUUGAUUUCUCCCUGUGUUUUCCCUCUGCAGCCCUUCCCUUUCUACUACCCCAGCCAUUCAAGCAGGUACUUGGGUUCUAGGCCUGUGACCUCAUGAGAGGGAUGUGGUGGGUCAGAAAAGCAGAAAUCAUUUGCAGGCUUUCUUAGUUUGUAUUCCCUAAGCCUCCAGAUGAGAGUGCCAUUUCUAAGUACAGCCUUCCUCAAUGUGCUGCUUAUCUUCCAUUCGUACCUCUAAACCCACUCUCCAUUCUGCUCCAUCCUGAUCUGUGCUCUUGGAGGCUGACUGUUAUGAAUUGCAUGACUGGGUCCUCUUGCUUUUGGCUUCUGCCUGGAUUUGGCCAGUGGGAGGCACUGGCAUGAGAUUGGGGGACUACAUCUCAGUGAUUACUUGUUUGGACAGAUGUCCUUCCUCCCACACAGCCCCCCAUGCUUUGAUAUUUGGGAUCUGUGAAAGGUCAUGGAGUUGUGGCAAAACCGUGGAGAUGUGGGGUGAGGGAGCAAGGAGAUCUGAGGUUAAGUUGUCUGUCCUUCUGGGGGAAUGGUAGACUCAAUGUUAGAAAUUAAGUUUAAUUACAGAGAAUUAAGUAAUACAUUUUUCCGUACAUAAAUUUGCAGACUGAGAGUCAUAC